rnacentral:rRNA from 1 species
GCAAACUGAGUGGUAGGGGCCGGGGGAAUACGUAGGGGGCGAGGGGUGUCCGGAGUGAUUGGGCGGAAAGCGCCCGCAGGCGGCUUGGCAAGUUCGAGGUGAAAUCUCGCGGCGCAACUGGGAGGGUGCCUCGGAAACUGCCAGGCUUGAGGCAGGGGGAGGGAUGUGGAAUUCCCGGUGUAGUGGUGAAAUGCGUAGAUAUCGGGAGGAACACCAGUGGCGAAGGCGGCAUCCUGGCCCUGUCCUGACGCUCAGGGGCGAAAGCGUGGGGAGCAAACCGGAUUAGAUACCCGUGUAGUC